GGGGGGGGGGGGGGGGGGGGGGGGCGGGGGGGGGGCGGGGGGUGGGGCCCGUGCGGGGGUACGCGAGUGGCGGACGGGGGAGUAGCACGUGAGUAACCUGCCCAGAACUUUGGGAUAACGCUAGGAAACUGGGGCUCAUACUGGAUAUGGCCUCCUGCUGCAUGGUGGGGGUUGGAAAGCUCCGGCGGGUGUGGAUGGACUCGCGGCCUAUCAGCUUGUUGGUGGGGUAGUGGCCUACCAAGGCGGCGACGGGGAGCCGGCCUGAGAGGGUGACCGGCCACAGUGGGACUGAGAUACGGCCCAGACUCCUACGGGAGGCAGCAGUGGGGAAGAUUGCACAAUGGGCGCAAGCCUGAUGCAGAAACGCCGCGUGCGGGAGGACGGCCUUCGGGUUGGAAACCGCUUUCAGCAGGGACGAAGCUUUUUGUGACGGUACCUGCAGAAGAAGCACCGGCUAACUACGUG
rnacentral:rRNA from 1 species